GAGGUUUGUGACUUCAUGGGAGCUAGAGUUCCAGCGGUAGAGUCUCCCUCUAGUUUGAGCUUAGAACUUGGGACUCAGAACUUACCUGAAGGAUCCCUUGGUCUUCUAUUUAUAGAGGAGCUGAUGAGACCAUUAGAGAGUUUGUUAGAUUGUUGGAGAAGUUUGUUAGGCCAUAAGAGGCCAGCUGUAAGUGAGCUAGAGC
rnacentral:lncRNA from 1 species